AGAGUUUGAUCAUGGCUCAGGACGAACGCUGGCGGCGUGCUUAACACAUGCAAGUCGAACGGGGCCAUUGCUUUCGGGCGGUGGUCGAGUGGCGGACGGGUGCGUAACACGUGAACAAUCUGCCCACGGGUGGGGGAUACCCUUCAGAAAUGGAGGCUAAUACCGCAUACGGUCGCUUGGGGGAGCCUGAGCGAAGAAAGCUUGGCGCGCGAGCGUCGGGCGCCGGUGGAGGGGUUCGCGGCCGAUUAGCUAGUUGGUGGGGUCAUAGCUCACCAAGGCGACGAUCGGUAGCUGGUCUGAGAGGAUGAUCAGCCACACUGGGAUUGAGAACGGCCCAGACUCCUACGGGGGGCAGCAGUGAGGGAUAUUCGGCAAUGGGGGCAACCCUGACCGAGCGACGCCGCGUGGGGGAUGACGGCCUUCGGGUUGUAAACCCCUUUUCUGUGGGACGAGGUAUACGGACGGUACCACAGGAAGAAGCCUCGGCUAACUACGUGCCAGCAGCCGCGGUAAUAC
rnacentral:rRNA from 1 species